rnacentral:rRNA from 1 species
CUCGAGGCCAGAUCUAGAGUUUGAUCCUGGCUGAGGACGAACGCUGGCGGCGUGCUUAAUGCAUGCAAGUCGAACGAGAACCACACCGUUCGUAAGAUCAGUGUGGGGACAGUGGCGAACGGGUGCGUAACACGUGAGGAACCUGCCCUGAAGACCGGGAUAGCCCAGGGAAACUUGGAUUAAUACCGGAUACCUUCACCGGACCGCAUGGCCUGGUGAAGAAAUGGUCUGCCGCUUCAGGAUGGCCUCGCGGCCUAUCAGCUUGUUGGUGAGGUAACGGCUCACCAAGGCAACGACGGGUAGCUGGUCUGAGAGGACGAUCAGCCACACUGGGACUGAGACACGGCCCAGACUCCUACGGGAGGCAGCAGCAGGGAAUAUUGCACAAUGGGCGAAAGCCUGAUGCAGCGACGCCGCGUGCGGGAUGAAGGCCUUCGGGUUGUAAACCGCUUUCAGGAGGGACGAAAAUGACGGUACCUCCAGAAGAAGCCCCGGCCAACUACGUGCCAGCAGCCGCGGUAAC